UUUAUUUAUUAAUUAGAGAGACAAAAUAUAUAGAUAAAAACAAAGAAAAUAUCUUACAUAUAUCAAGAGAUUUUACUAGUUAAGUUAAAACAAACUUACACUCACGUAAUUGACAGGUAAUAACAAUACCAAUCUUUUUAUUUCAUAAAACAUAGUAUGAAAGAGAACAGUUCAUGCAUUUAACCACUAUAAUUAGAAUUUCUCCCAUAUUGAAGGACUAUUAAAAGAUCAAGAUUGUCAUCUUUUAUGUCCUCGUCAUCAACAAUACUAAACCCACGAUGAUACCUCCAACCCUCCAACCCAUCGAUCUUACCUGAAAAAAAUUAUAAUUAAUAGGAAACUUAUUCACAAAUGCAUAUAUUUAGAAAAGAAUUACAAAUGAACGAACUUAGCCUAAAAAUUAACCUGUGCAAGGAGUUUUUAUAUAUUCUUCCAAUUAGACAGGGAAGGUUCUCUGCUAGCUUCUUGUGAACCGUAAUCAAAAGUAAGUAGUAGAG
rnacentral:lncRNA from 1 species